GACGAACGCUGGCGGCGUGCUUAACACAUGCAAGUCGAGCGGUAAGGCCCCUUCGGGGGUACACGAGCGGCGAACGGGUGAGUAACACGUGGGUGACCUGCCCUCAGCUCUGGGAUAAGCCUGGGAAACUGGGUCUAAUACCGGAUAUGACUCCAUGACGCAUGUCGUGGGGUGGAAAGCCUUGUGCGGCUGGGGGAUGGGCCCGCGGCCUAUCAGCUUGUUGGUGGGGUGAUGGCCUACCAAGGCGACGACGGGUAGCCGGCCUGAGAGGGCGACCGGCCACACUGGGACUGAGACACGGCCCAGACUCCUACGGGAGGCAGCAGGUGGGGAAUCUUGCGCAAUGGGCGAAAGCCUGACGCAGCGACGCCGCGUGAGGGAUGACGGCCUGG
rnacentral:rRNA from 1 species